rnacentral:rRNA from 1 species
GACGAACGCUGGCGGCGUGCCUAAUACAUGCAAGUAGAACGCUGAAGAGAUGAGCUUGCUCUUCUUGGGUGAGUUGCGAACGGGUGAGUAACGCGUAUGUAACCUGCCUGGUAGCGGGGUAUAACUAUUGGAAACGAUAUCUUAUACCGCAUAAAAUUGAUUAGUGCGUGAUGAUUAAUUGAAAGAUGCAACUGCAUCACUACCAGAUGGACCUUCGGUGUAUUAGCUAGUUGGUGAGGUAACGGCGCACCAAGGCGAAGAUACAUAGCCGACCUGAGAGGGUGAUCAGCCACACUGAGACUGAGACACGGCACAGAGUGACAGAGGAGGCAGCAGGAGGGAAACUUCGGGCAUGGGGGGAGAACUGACCGAGAAACGCCGAGUGAGGAAAGAAGGUUUCCGGAUGGUAGAGCUCUGUUGUCAGGGUAGAACGGGCGUGAGAGUGGAAAGAUCACACUGUGACGGUAACUUACAAGAAAGGGACGGCUAACUACGUG